CGCGUUAGCAUGGUAGCAACAUCAUUGUGAUCCAAGAAAAGUCCAUGCCAGUAGUGCAUAUUUGUUUAAGCACAAUCAAUCCCAUAGCUCUAAAUAAGUACAUUCUUUAAACUGCUAUAUCAACCAAAGCAGCCUUCCCUCAUCUUUUCCAUUAUACCAUUUUCUCUUUUAUUUGUUUUGCUUUCUAACGCUGUAUUCUCUCUUUCUCUUCUAACUUUUGAUUCUCACAGCAUCUAAGGCCAAGGAUGUCUCGCAGUUGCUCACAGUGUGGAAAUAAUGGCCAUAACUCUCGGACAUGCAGGGAGAGUCCUGCUGCUGCUGGUCCUAUUGGUGGUGGCGCCGCCUCCUCUUCUGCCGCCACAGGAGGAGAGAAUGGUAUCAUGCUUUUUGGUGUCAGAGUCACUACUGAAGGUGCCUCCUUUCGAAAGAGCGUUAGUAUGAAUAAUCUUUCCCAGUAUGAGCCGCAGCCUCAGGACCCCAACGCUGAUGUUGCAGCCGGUUAUGAAUCUGACGACGUCGUUCACGCCUCAGGCAGGAGCCGCGAGCGAAAGAGAGGGGUGCCAUGGUCUGAGGAAGAACACAAGCUUUUCCUGUUAGGGUUGCAGAAAGUAGGGAAAGGAGACUGGAGAGGAAUUUCAAGAAACUUUGUGAAGACACGUACGCCUACCCAGGUGGCUAGUCAUGCUCAAAAGUACUUUCUCCGGCGAAACAACCAAAAUCAUCGCCGCCGCCGCCGAUCUAGUCUCUUUGACAUCACCACUGAUACAUUCUUGGGUUCAUCAAUGGAAGAAGAGCAAGUCCACCAAGAAACUGCAACUGUACCACUGCCACCACAGCCACACUUCAGCAAUACUCUUGUAGGAUUCCCCAUGUCAACUUUCCCAGUAUCGCUUAGCCCUGCAGUAUUAGAGGUUGCCGGCGACAACACGAUGGAGAACCUCUCAUUAGGAUCAAGCAACGCCAAACUGAAGACAUCACCGAAGCUCAUUCGUCCAAUACCAAUUAUUCCAGUUCCUCCAUCUUCAAAAAUGGCUGAUCUUAACUUGAACCAGAAGAGUCCUACCAUAGAACCCGUACCACUGUCACUGAAGCUCUCUACUCCUUCCUCAGAAGAGCAGUCGCCGGCGGCAACGACAGCGACAGCGACAGCGACACACUCUUCAACUUUUCAGGCCAUGUCAGGUGGAGACAGCGUCAUUAGUGUUGCUUGAAGAAUAUGUUGUGCAUAUGGGGUGGGGCAGGAGCUGUAAAGGUGUUGUUUAAUCGCUGUAGAAAUAGAACAUAUGUGAUUAGCUAAUAAUUAAAAUGAGAAGGGAAAGGAUUAAUUAGGAGAAAAAUAGCUAGGCUGAUUAUUAUUAUCAUUAGAUUAUUACUAUUAGGUGAUUCCUUGUUUGUACAGGUUGAGGGGAAGAAAAUAAAAAGAAGAUGGGACGUCGUUUUCUUUUGUGGGGAAGACAUAUUGGAUUCUUGUUUAUUUUGUCUGCUUGCUUUUUGCGGUGAAGGGAUAGGGGGCCCAGCACUCUUAGCAUUCAAUAUGGUCUUCUUCUGCUACUAGUAAUGGUAGGCUAGCUGAUGUUGUUUUAGGACUUCGAUCAGGGGAACAAAAUAUCUGAUGAAGAAGCUUAUAAUAUAUAUUCUGUUAAUGUGAAUUUCCAAUUCGAUGCUUUGGUCUUGUGUUUUACGUGAUGAAGAAUGAUUUGGAUUUCCUUUCAUUCAUUUACUUUAAGGAAAGAGACACCGCAAACAGGUAUCUAUGACUUUGUAAUCAUUUUUGUCCAGACUGAUAAUCAAGUUAGGGGCAAGCUUCUGUGGCUAUCCUAAGCCAAGAAUCCACAAGUUGGGCUCAUUUAUUGUAACCAUAUUUGUCCAAACUAGGAGUCCCGAUGGAGGUAAACUCCUGUGUCCAAACUUUUAUAUAGAAUCUCUAUCAGAUUCUGGGUUUGAUUUUAUCAGAGGGAAAUGAGAAAGCUUUUUCUGGUGGUUUGAUUUUCUGCUGUUUCACAUUUUCUUUUUUAUUUUCAUUUUUCAAUUUU
rnacentral:misc_RNA from 1 species